CCUCAGGCGUUCUCAUGGGUUCAUGCUCUAAACAUAUCUCUUAUAUUAAUUAAUUGGGUAACUUCUGUGUGUGUUUUGUGUGUUUUUCAGGAGGAAUUGAAGGAAUGGGAUCAGUAGUGUCUCUUGCUGCUUGCUUGGUGAUGCUAAUGUAAAGAUGACCGAGAGAUUACUGUCAUGGAUGAUGUUGCUAACUAUCAGUGAUGGCUUUGACUGAUUGUCCUCAGGCGUUCUCAUGGGUUUUAGAUGAUGCUUUUCAUCUAUCAGUGAUGGCUUUGACUGAUCUUCCUCAUGGGUUUUGGAUGAUGCUUUGUGAUGCUAAGGUUGAUGAACAUGGAAUGCUAAUGAUGGUUGUUUGCAACGGGACUUUUUAAUAGCACAUCGCACGAAGACGCACACACUUAGUUUCCUCUCUUCUCUGGUUAUUGUUAACAUUCAUCCCACUGGAUUGUAAAUUCCCGUUUGAGCUUUCCGGUCUCCCCAUGGGAACUACUAUAACAAUGUGUAUAGACGCCGUAAUGGUGAUGCUGAAUGGUUGAGGGAUUUCUCAUCAGCCACGAACAUGAUUAGGUGCAUUUAUCAGUUCUAGAUGCUGAUAGUGAGUCUGCCUUGAAUAAUGUUGUGGAGGUUUCAUGAACUGUUGGUAAACAAGACAAUGUGCAUUCAUAUGGUGUCCAUAACACUCAGGCCCAUGAGUGCCGGAGCUUUUUGGAGCUCAUUGGAGCUUGUUGGAGCUCAUUGUCAUCUAAGCUCUGCCGUUACAAAGGUGCUACUGGGAACAAGAGCUCAAAGUAAUGAAAAGCUUCAUAAGUUUUUGGAUAAGGUGAAGGCACAAACCCAUAGAGCUGAAGGUUGUUGAAGCUCAUUGCCAUCUAGGCUUUACCAUUACAAAGGUGGAUGCAGUCUUAUGGUGGAAUUCAUUUGAUCAACUUCGGUGUCAAGGCUUUGAGGGUUACAGUGGUGUAUCUACCUAACAUGCGGGAUGGUUCAAGGUUUUCCCAUUCGUCAGAUUUUGAUUGAGGAUUUUUUUUGCAAAAGGACUUGAUAGCACGUCAGAAGUGGUUUGUCUCUUCCAUGGUGCAAUUUCAAUGGAAAUGAGUAUCUGUUAGAAGAUUUAGUUUAAGUUUCUCAAGAAGGUGUUUUCGUAAAUGUUUUAUAUACUUUUAUGGUGGAAGCUUCAAGAAUUUCUGGCUAGUGGCGGGUCGAUGUACUGCUGGGUAUCAAUUAAUAGGGAACAAGAACUCUAAGUAACGAGAAGCUUCAAUGGUUUCUGGAUGAAAUGAAGGCACAUCGCAAAAGAGCCGAAGCUUGUCAGAGCUCAUCGCCAACUAGACUCUACUAUUACCAAGAUUUGCAAAACGUGUGAAAACUAACUGGAGUCCGAGAGAAGAGAGAACCAUGUAUGUCCUCCUAUCAGGGUUCCAUCGGUUAUCUUGUCAUCGUUGGUGUGACUCCGUUUUUUUCCUUGAAUUUUCACGCCGCACUGGUUGUGUGCAGGCAAGGGGACUCAUCGCACGAAGACGCACACCUUCUGUGGUCUUUCUUAUAAUUCAUCCCACUGGAUUGUAAAUCCCCCCGUUUGAGCUUUCCGGUCUCCGCAUGGGCUACUAUAACAAUGUGCAUCCAUACCGUGUCCAUUAUACAGCCUGUCCCAUGAGUGCCAGAGCUUGUUGGCGCUCAUUGCCAUCUAAGCUCUUCUGCCAUUACAAAUGUGGAUAUAUUCAGAUUUGAUGUAGUUCUUGCGAUGGAAUACAUUGAUCAACUCCCAAGAGCAAUGCUUUGUGGUGUAUCUACGUAAGAUGGAGAAUGGUUCAAGGUUUUUCUCAUUCGCCAGAUCUUGAUUGAGGAUUGUUUGUGAAGGGACUUGAUAGCACAACGGGUAAAGACGUAGUAGUUUCUUCUCUUCUGUGGUCAGUUAGUGUUUGAGGUUGCCGAUUUUGCUGAAUCUUGUACAUGGUCUACUAUAGCAAUAAAAGCUAGCUUGAAGGGAUGAGAUUAGGAUGAAAUCUGUUUUUGCUCUAUUAAACAACAAAAAAACAACAAGGCGUAUAUGUUUAUAUUGUGGGUAAGCAUGUCAUUUGUCUAUCCUCAGGUAUGGUUAUAUAUUUUCUCAAUAUUUUAAAACCGUGUUCUAGUUUUUUAUGUCAGAAUUGUUCAACACAGCUUGGUUAUGAGUUAACUUUUUCUGUUUAGUUCAAUUUUUUCAGGUGCAUCCAUCUUAAUGUAGCUACUUGACACACGAACUCAUAGUUUGGUAUCAGGGACGAGAAGCUUCAAUGGUUUCCGGAUUAGGUGAAUGCACAUCCCAUAGAGCUCAUUGCCAUCUAGGUUCUCCCAUUACAAAGGUGUAUAUAUUCACAGAUGUUGCGAUUCUUACGGUGGAAUAAGUUGAUGAAAUCCGGCAUCAAGGGUUUGAGGUCGGGUCCCCAGUUCAAGCAAGGGAGGAGAGUCUCCUGAUUUUAACGGAUUCUUUAUGUUAUUCUAUAAGACUAUAACCAAAGAGCUACGGCUUGGAUUGGUCACUGUUUAAUCUCGGGUCUGAUUCUGUUUUCAACAGCUGAUUCAAAUGGAGAUAAUGGGUCUUGAGGAAUCAGAAUUAAAGAUAAGUCUUAACAAAUUGGUAGAGACUUUCACACCUCUUGCUCCUUUUUUUUGGCUUAGCUCUCUUGCAGAUAAGGAAGAGAUAUGAUUUAUGGCUCUGUUUCAGAUAUGUUCCAGUUUUUCAACAGCUGCUUCAAAAGGAGUUAAUGAGUCUGAGACAUCGGAAAUAAAAGGUUUUAGACAGCUGAUUGAAAAGGAGUUAAAAAAUCUGUUGCAGGUAAGCUUAAUAAAUUUGGAAUUGUGUAGAUCCUCGGAAAUAUAUAUGUUACUCUUCAAGUAUCUUGUUCAUGGUCUUAAGUUAGACUCGCACCACAAAAUAAAGUAAGGAAGCACUCAGAAGAAGUUUACCGGACCAUUGAACUACCUUGUACGAAAAGGUGGUCUUUGGAUAUGAAGUAAGAAUCAGAUGACGCAAUAACAGAGCUUGAUCUGUAUUUUAGUGUUAAUCAGUUAUCAACCAUUGACAUUGUUAAACUAAUUUACACACAUUGUAUAAUAUAGUAAAAUACUGUUUUAACAAUAAUUUAGGAAUAAUAGUCACCGAACCUUCACAUUCA